GUAAAGAUGGCGCAAUGGUAGCGCGCGAGACUUCUAAUCUCACUCAGUGAAGUCUACAUCUCGAGGCUGUGGGUUCGAGUCCCACUUGGAGUG